ACGAACGCUGGCGGCAGGCUUAACACAUGCAAGUCGAACGCUGUAGCAAUACAGAGUGGUGCACGGGUGAGUAAUACUUGGGAACGUGCCCUAGAGUACGGAAUAACGUCGGGAAACUGACGCUAAUACCGUAUAUUCCCUUCGGGGGAAAGAUUUAUCGCUCUAGGAUCGGCCCAAGCCAGAUUAGGUAGUUGGUGGGGUAAUGGCCUACCAAGCCUACGAUCUGUAGCUGGUCUGAGAGGACGACCAGCCACACUGGAACUGAGACACGGUCCAGACUCCUACGGGAGGCAGCAGUGGGGAAUAUUGGACAAUGGGCGAAAGCCUGAUCCAGCCAUGCCGCGUGAGUGAUGAAGGCCUUAGGGUUGUAAAGCUCUUUUGUCAGGGAAGAUGAUGACGGUACCUGAAGAAUAAGCACCGGCUAACUUCGU
rnacentral:rRNA from 1 species